UCAACAGAGAAAAGCAAAAAAAUGCUUGACUCUGUAGCGGGAAAGCGUAUUAUGCACACCCGCGCCGCUGGGAAAAAGCGAAGCGGCACUGCUCUUUAACAAUUUAUCAGACAAUCUGUGUGGGCACUCGAAGAUACGGAUUCUUAACGUCGCAAGACGAAAAAUGAAUACCAAGUCUCAAGAGUGAACACGUAAUUCAUUACGAAGU
rnacentral:rRNA from 1 species